rnacentral:rRNA from 1 species
CGGGGGGGGCAAGCGUUGUUCGGAAUUACUGGGCGUAAAGGGUUCGUAGGUGGCCCGCUAAGUCACACGUGAAAUCCCUCAGCUUAACUGGGGAACUGCGUGUGAGACUGGCAGGCUUGAGUGCAGGAGAGGAACGCGGAAUUCCAGGUGUAGCGGUGAAAUGCGUAGAUAUCUGGAGGAACACCGGUGGCGAAGGCGGCGUUCUGGACUGUAUCUGACACUGAGGAACGAAAGCCAGGGGAGCAAACGGGAUUAGAUACCCCGGUAGUCCUGGCCCUAAACGAUGAAUGCUUGGUGUGACGGGUAUCGAUCCCUGUCGUGCCGCAGUUAACGCGUUAAGCAUUCCGCCUGGGGAGUACGGUCGCAAGGCUG